GGGCGAGCGGCAGCAACGAGUAGCUGGAAGAAGCCAUGACCUAGAACAAAUAACACCGGCCUGAUGGCUGAGGUGUAAUAACUGUUCCUGAACAUGGUGGUGAGUCCUAAGGCUGCUGUACCUUCUUCCUGAUGGCAGCAGUGUAAAGGAAGCAUGACUUGGAUGGUGGGUGUCCCUGAUGGUGGAUGCUGCUUUUCCUGCGACAGCGUUUCGUGCAGAUGUGCUCAAUGUUUUCACCAUACAUUAAUGUGGAAGAGUGAACAGUAAACGGUUAAUCUUACUGUGAUCCUGUCGUCAUUGACAAAGGUUUAUCUCAGUGUUUAGUUCAGCGUUAUCUUAACACGCCAAGCGAGAUCACUACAACAACGAUGAUGACAAGACGGAGGACAGUGACAAGAUGGAGCGACAGUUAGGAGCACCAAGCUUCUGGGAGCACACAUAGGAGACAAUAUCGUCUGGUCCUUCAACAUCACCUGUUUAGUCAAGAAAUCACAGCAACAUUUAACUUCCUGAGGAGAUUGAGAAAAAUGACACUUCUCCCCCUCCCCCCAAUAUUCUAACCAAUUUUCACAGGAGCAUCAUCGAGAACAUCCUGAUCAGAUGCAUCACCAUCUGGUGCCAGAUUUGCAAAACAAGUGCCCACAAGACCCUACAAAGGAUUACGAGGACUGCUGGGAGGAUUAUCGGGGUCUCUCUUCCACUCAUCUGAGAUAUUUAUCAGGAGCGCUGUAUACACAGUGCCCUUAGCAUUGUCAAUGAUCCCUCCCAUCUGUCCAACAAUCUCUUUGACCCCCUACCGUCAGGCAGGAGGUGCCGUAGCAUUAGGACAAGAACUAUUAGGAUUAGAAACAGCUUCCUCCCCCAGGCCGUGAGACCACAGAACUCCCUGCUGCUACCCAAGUCUCAUUCCGUAUGAAGUGCCAGUGGCGUUAUACUGUUUACUUUUUAACUUGUGUUGUAAUUGCAUCUUAUUAAUCGUUAAUGUAUUUGUGAUAACAUUACUUUAUGGUGUUGUGUAGGAAUUAUAUGUCCUGUGUUCGGAGGAAUGUUAUUUUAUUUGGUUGUAUACAGGUUGAAAUUAAGAUAAACACACUCAAACGAGCUUGAACUUGGAGUCAAUUAAAGACUUCUUGAAUGCCUGUUAGCACCAUUGUGUUAAUUUCACAACAGCAGGCAAGAAAGCAAUACGGAACACUAGUUAUACCAUACACAUGAUUGUAAUGGUGUUUUUCCAGUGUUACACCUAUGUCCCCCUCCUUUUUGAGAAUCGCAAGAUUGCUAUUAAGUCAGGGCAGGAGACCCAGGAAAUGAGAGAGAGAUGUUUGGAAUGUCUUGGCCCUCUGCGACACAAAGCCACGGAAAAGGCCAUUGUCUCUUGGAGACGGAAUUGUAUAUUGAGUACUGUGCUUCGUGGAAGCCCUCAGGCAAUGUGGGCUGGUUGGGGGAUGGCAUCAUUCCACCCUGAGUGACAUCUGAGACCUCGUGAGUGGGGAUAAAAGAGGGUCUGGGGAACAGCCCCUUUAGAUGCACCAGAAGAAAUGCUAGAACUCCUGUAACAGCAUAAUAGCGAAAGCCGGUGGAAAGCCCACAUGAGUCCUGUUCCAUUUGCCUCAGAAUUGGUGGGUCUUACCACGGAAGAAUGGCUUUAGCUAAAACAAAGGAGAAAUCAGCCCCAAUGACUCUCGAAGGAUUGACAUCAUAAAAGGAAUGAGCAAGUUUUAAAACUCUCUCUCUUGACUCCAAUCAAAGGCUACAGCCUGCAGCUUGAAUGAACUAAAGUGACUUUUAUAUUUCCAUCGGACAAUACAUUAUCCCCUAGACAACGAUAGAGCUAUUUCUUAUUGAGUAUUAUUAUACCCACACUUUUAGAUU